rnacentral:rRNA from 1 species
UUCGGAUUGUAGUCUGCAACCCGACUACAUGAAGCCGGAAUCGCUAGUAAUCGCGGAUCAGAAUGCCGCGGUGAAUACGUUCCCGGGUCUUGUACACACCGCCCGUCACACCAUGGGAGUCGGGAAUGCCCGAAGUCAGUGACCCAACCUUAGGGAGGGAGCUGCCGAAGGCAGGCCUGGUGACUGGGGUGAAGUCGUAACAAGGUAUC